CGCGGGGUGGAGCAGUGGUAGCUCGUUGGGCUCAUAACCCAAAGGUCGGAGGUUCGAGUCCUCCCCCCGCUA
rnacentral:tRNA from 1 species